UACGAAGGGGGGCUAGCGUUGCUCGGAAUUACUGGGCGUAAAGCGUGCGCAGGCGGCUUUGCAAGACAGAUGUGAAAUCCCCGGGCUCAACCUGGGAACUGCAUUUGUGACUGCAUGGCUGGAGUGCGGCAGAGGGGGAUGGAAUUCCGCGUGUAGCAGUGAAAUGCGUAGAUAUGCGGAGGAACACCGAUGGCGAAGGCAAUCCCCUGGGCCUGCACUGACGCUCAUGCACGAAAGCGUGGGGAGCAAACAGG
rnacentral:rRNA from 1 species